CUCUCUGUUGGACUUCAUUGACAUCACCCUGAAAAAGGUGGAUUUUUGAGGAGCGUGAGAAGAAGAGCAUGAGAAGUGCUGAAUUACACUGUGUUGUUGCAGAUGAGCGUCCCUAACCACAGCAGUCCUUGAAGAAGAAAGAUGGUCUGAUAGGAACUGCUUAUUCAGGAACACAUUGCAAAAUCUGUGGGUGUCCUUCGGGAUCUGAGGGCCUCACUCCUACAACUGCAAGGAAUUGAAUUCUUCUAACAAUGCGAUGAGGUUGGAAGAAGACUCCAAGAUCCAGAAAGGAACACAGUCCCACCAACACCUGUGUUGUCACCUGGUGAGACCCUGAAACAGAGAAUCCAGCUAAGCCAUGCCCAAAAUAUUCAUCCACAACGUGUUGUUUUAAGCUUCCAAGUUUCUAGUAAUUUGUUAUAAAGCAAUAGAAAAGUAAUAUAUCCUUUCCGAGGCUCAUCUUCAUUCCAAACGUUCCACGUUUCCUUCUGUUAUCAUUUAUUUUCUGUCUGAAUUAUUUCCUCCAGCAAAAAAAUUUUUAAGGCAGUUCUGCUGCACUUGAAAAGUCUUAUGACACGUCCUUCUGGCCUUCAUGAUUUCUGAUGAAAAAUAUGCUGUCAUUUGAAUAGUUUUAAUGCUUGAGAUGAACCCGGUACCUCAGAUGGAAAUGCAGAAAUCACCCGUCUUCUGCGUCGCUCACGCUGGGAGCUGUAGACCGGAGCUGUUCCUAUUGGGCCAUCUUGGCUCCUCCUGUGCUUUCUGCAUCCCACAUGGAAGCAGAAACGAGAUGUUUCAAAAUCACCAUCUCACUCUAGUUUGUCUACAAAGCCAUCUAUCAAGAACAUUAUAUGA
rnacentral:sRNA from 1 species